ACUGCCCACCCCUCACCCGAGAGGUGUGGAGCCGAUCGCACCCCCAGACCCUCGUUUCGUUUUUAUUUCCCAGCAAAGUGCGUGCCGUCGCCUGGCGGUCAUGGAGAAGGGGGACGCAAAGGCCUAGCCCUGGAUGGGAUUCGAAUUUGAAAAAAAAAAACAAAAAAGUUUUUCCUAUUCCUGUCGCAGGCACUUGCCUUUCUGGUCUCCCCGCCUCGCCCACGAGACCUCCAGGCAACUUUUAUUCUCUUCCUAAGUUGAAGCGUAAGCAGGGUUGAGGCCCUUCAGCUCACACGUAACCAACCCCUCUGUCCCAAGUGCUCAAAGUCGGGGCUUCGCGCGGUGCUCUUAGUUGUUUACUCCUCUGUCACGCUAAUACGUUAUGUCAGUCUAGGGCACGGAUGUUUCCAUGCAGGUGAUUUUGACAGCAAUCACCAUACCAAGCUAUUAUGAAGUGUGAUGUCAGUGCGUUCUGGAGGACGGAUAAUAUAUAAGCCAGUUCUUGACACGCUAUCUUACAAGGAAACAUCUGAGACCAUCAGGAAGAGGCAUUUUAAUUCACACACCAAAAAUAUUUUGUGUUUGGUUGACAUCUUUCAAAAUGCUGAAAGAGGUCCUUUCAAGCACGGAUCGCAGUGCCCAGUGGUCAAUACCCUUACUUUUAUCCAGUGUCUGCUUCAUUUAAACUUAAUCAACUCCAUCAACGAACUGGAACAGGGAAACGUCCCUGCGGCCAGAACAACUGGGUUAAGAUCUGGAGAAGACAUUGUUGAGUUUUCCCUAUGGGGGAAGGAGGGGGAGAAAGGAAGCUAAAUGAGUUUUACUGUGCGGCGGAAGGACUACUCCAGGCACCAGUGUGGCUUCUAAUGUGAGGAAAAACACGGAAUGACAAGUGUGGGAAAGAGCAAGCACUAAAUUACUGUCAGAAAAAUAAACGGAGUAGCACAGUGGUGCUCAGUGAUUUACGGGGGCAAUUAGUCACCACCCCACGGCGCUGCUGAGGACAGCACGGCAGCAGACGCGUCAGGCCUGAGAGGAAGAAGAGGCUUUGCACUGCUCUCCAGACAACUUUUCAAACAAGAGAGAAUAUUUGAGUACAUUAGGUUCCAUGUCUUCAUUCUGGGUGCCCACCCUUCACAUUAUCCAGCCAACCUAAUACAUAAACGUAUUUUUAACACAAUAUUAACCUGUUCUGUGUGUGUUAAAAAGACUCCCAACUUCAGCUUUUUUCUCUCCCACUGUCUAAAGUAGGUUUUCCCCAUUCCUUAAAUGAAACCAACAAAUAAAAAAACCUUUCCCUGCUUCCAAAUUGUCCUCCUGAUGUGUGCCUUCAGUCUGUCUCAUUUCUUCUUGCAUCUUGCUAUCAUGUUCUAUAUUUGCUUUGAGCCACUGGGUGCUAAGGAAUUUGGUCUCUAGCUCUUCUGGGGAAGUUUAGUGAGCUGGCACAAAGAGGUGAUGAAUGAGGCUGCAAAACUCAGGGUAAAUGAGAAAGAUAUAUAAACUUCCUGAUAUAUGUUACCAUGUUCUUUAACAUACUAUAUACGGUGCCUAUAUAUAUGCAUAUAGCAAAAUAAACCUGCUAAGAUAUGAUAUUUGGUGUACACUCUUUGGUAGGAAGUCUUCUUCAUCAGAAGAAAUCUAGAAUGGGGCACCUGGGUGGCUCCGUCGGUUGGGCGUCUGACUCUUGACUUCGGCUCAGGUCAUGAUCUCAUGGUUUGUGAGUUCGAGCCCUGCACCGGGCUCUGUGCUGACAGCAUGGAGCCUGCUUGGGAUUCUGUUUCCCCCUAUCUCUGCCUCUCUCUCUGUCUGUCUCUCUUAGAAGUAAAUAAAUAAACAUUUAAAAAGAAGAAGAAGAAGAAAUCUAGAAUGGAAGUCCAGGAAAGAACCCAAGAAAGACAAAGAUUUUAUUGACUAACUGCCACGUCUGUAUAGGGGCAGUAACAAGGUUGCCGAAGCGAACAAAUGAAGCAUCAUUAGGAGUUUAGUAUCCUGAUGUAGUGUUACCUAAGUGUUGUGCAGUGUUACCAUUUUAUAUUUCUGAAGCACUUUACAGUUUAUGAAGGAUAUUUGGAAUUCCUUUUCUCAUUUGAUCUUGCCUUGGCUUUAGUCAAGAACACGUGCUCAAUUAGAAAUGUGUUCAGUGAGUAUGUACACAUUUGGAGAAUGUGACCCAACACAUGCUUGCAUGUUGACCUGUAAGCUGGAGUACUAAAGAGGCAAAACCUUGUUGAUGAGCUGGUGCUGUAAUGAUGUGCCAUUCAACUGGGCACUUACUUUCUGAUAAAGAGGCUCACAAUUGGGAAAAAGUGCAGAUUUUACUGGCUCCUCUUUUCCACAUUAUCAAUUGUGUUUUUUGUGUUUUUUUUUUUGUUACGACACAAUGUACCUUUAAAAACAAUUAAAAAAUAAUAUAGAGCCCUGGAAUUUGAUGUAGAAUUGGGUAUUUGUGACAAGAGCACUGGUUUUCCUGUAAUAAGGAAAGCAAACCCAACCAGGAAAAGAGGCAGAUGUGUUUCUUUGCAACAUUGCAGGCAUAUGAAAUUAUACAGAUCUCACUGAAAACUAGGAAUGAUACAACUUGAAAAUUUAACCAAAAUUAUUUUUUAUCAGUGAACAAAGUCCAUUGUAAAGCACUGUAUGUAUUUUUUCAGAUCUCUUUCUUUUCCUGAAGUCACAUUUGUAGUUUCUGGUAGAGGGACAUAAUUGGGGAAAAUUAAAUACAUAAAAAGAUGAAAUUUAAAAGUAUAAAAUUCUGCCUUUCUGAUAAAUUUUAUGUUCCCUGUUUCCUUGAUUUAAAGAGGACGUUCUAAUAAUACCCUUACAGGGGACACAUUUUUAUAUACAUGUUAUUUUUGUUUAGAAAUUGUGAGCUAGUGAAGAGUGAAAAUGACCUUGGCUAUUGUACUUACUUAUUGAUAGAAAUAAUAGCCUUUUUAUAUCUGAAUUCAAAUGUCUUCUCUACUAAUCAUGCAACUUCCAUACAUUUCAAAGAGAUUUGGGUUGCAUGAAAACAGGAGGCUGGAGCUUCCUACGUGCCCCCGUGUUUGUGUUCAUACAGAAUAUUUAUGCAAUAUUCCAACUUGGCUAUAAUCUAUAAUUCCUGGCUAUUUCAGUUGCCACUAUAAUUUUUAGAUUAAUGGUUAUAAUUUUGGUAGGGAAUACAUGAAAAGUUAUAUGUUCAUGCUUGAAAGGAGGAUCAUUAAAUAUUCAUUAUUACCACUCAAAUUAGUUGUCAUGCUCUAUAAAACAGUUACCCGUUAUCAUUUCACUAGUUUAGAUUCUGCAGUAAGUGAACAGCAAUAUAUGGCUCAUAUCAGUAGAGGAAUUUUUGUUGGGGAACAGAGAGAGAAAUGAUUUUAAAACACAUUUGACAUAUUUAUGUUGACAAAUUAUAUAAAGAAUUACUGCUUUGUCAAUAAAUAUGUUUGUAUGUUAGAAUAGGAUUGUGGCUGGAUUUACUUCUAGCUGUUUAAUUACUCUAUGAUUGUGAAAAAAUAGUGCUGCUUCAAAUGGUUAUAAGGGGAAAAAAUUAGAAUACAAAGGUUGGGAUAUUUUAGUAUUUUGCAGAUGCUUAAACUUGCCAUAAAAAAGCACUUUUCAUUUUUGUAAGCAGGCAUUGAAAUCUUGCUUUUUCAGCAAAGCUAGAUUGUAUAGUUUGUUACUUUUCUCUAUCUGGUAACAAAUCUAUUCUUAAAAAAAGAAAAAAGUAAAACAAGAGAUUGAUUUUUAUAAAUGUGGUGGGGGAGCAUAUGUGGAGAUGUCUCCUUAGCCUGUUUUAGAAGCAUGUAAAGUGAAAAUAAAAAUAAAUACAUUUUAGUGUAAAAAUAUUUUGCUUUUUGUUUCCACAUACCUUGAUAUGCCUAUUCAGUUAUGCGAAGACAUUGGGGAUAGCCAGAUGCUUUUUUUUUUAUCACAUAUAGGGAUCAUUCCAUACUCCUCAGUAAUUUAAAUUGUUUUUUUUUUUCCAUAGAACACCCCCCAUAAAUUUGAUUCUGAUUGCAUGUAACUUUAGAACGUUCUGUCUUAAAGAGUCAAAUUGUAGCUGAUGAACACAUUUUGCAUUUUUCCACAUUGCAUCUGGACUCUUCAUAAUGAUGGUUUAUUUUAUUUUUUUUUCUGCACAGAGGAGAGAAAAAAAUAUAUAGGUCUAUGAAUCAAUCUAGAUAAUGGGGAAGGCUGAAUGUAAUAAAUAAUACAGUAACAACCCUAAACUAAUGAGCUGUUGCUAAGGUACAUUUCAUAGGCUCAUCCUCUAUAUAAAAAGUCACUAAUAACCCCUUGGUGUAAUCAGAUGAUAAAGCUUUGCCAUAAGGCAACACCUGUGCAAUUAGAACUGCAGAUUCUUUUGCACGUUUCAUUAAUUUCAGGAUUUUGUAAAGGCACAAUGACUACACUAAUAAUCUAGUCUACUUGACUCCAUGUCUACCGGAAACAAAGUGUCUAAUUAGAUAAAGGUAAUUAAUUAGAGAUAAAUGGAGCUAAUCAGGCUCAGUUAACACUAAUUCUCUGAAUUAAGACAUUUUGGGACACCUACUAUCCCGCUGAUUUUGAUAUUUUGCAUUAAAAAUAGGUUUUAGAGGAGUCAGAAAAUACUGGCAUUUGAGAAUUGAGCGGUCUUUUGAUGGCAUAUUUAGGCAUCUGAAGCUAAAGGAGAGCUUUCUUUCAUAUUGUGCUAUUUCACCACCUUUCUCUUGCAGCUUAAAGAAUUCACUUUGUAGUUAUUCCAAUCCGUGCUAGUCUCCAUAUAAAUUUUAAUAGCUUUUGCUAUCAUUUUUAUUAUCUGUCUAACCCACCAAUGGAAGAAAAUCACAAGUUGUUCUCUCUUAAAUAAAGAAUUAACAUGUUACAUUAAGGAAAUGUCAAGACUCAUCAGCCUAUAUCCUAAAAUUCUGGUCCUUUAAAGAGAACAAACACCUAUAAUUCUGAUUCUUUUAAAGAGAACAAACCUCUGCUUUGCAGUGUUGGACUGAAAAUUUAGUGGUGUGGGGGAAAGCUUUGAAGUCAGAAGACCUGAAUUCAAAUUUCCACUCUUUCUUAGUAAAUGAGUGAUCUUAGAAAAAUGCUUAACUUCUCUGAGUUCCUUUGAUUAUGAAAUGGAAAUGAUAGUGAUGCUAACUUUACAGGGUGGUUGUGAACAUUGAGUGAGGCAACUCUGUAAAUAUUGGUUAUUAUUACCUGUUCGUAAUUGGGAUUGAACACAUAACCUAGCACCAUAUCUUGCUUGAACUACAAGAUUAAGUAUCAAAAAUGUUCCAUUUUUAUCUCAACCCCAUGAUAAUUUUGGCGCUACAUUUAUAUAUGUAGCAAGGGAGAGACUAAGAAUUUUCUCCCAAAUAGUCAAAUCAGAAAAAAAAAUCCUGCAAAUUCUUCACUUGGAGAAUGUGAAUUUAUCUGCCUUGGUUUUCUACACUGCUAUAAUUAGCCCUCUUGGCAAGUUGUUCCACAGUCCAUAAGGAAUGGAUCGUUUGCCCCAGAAUUGAAAUCUUGGGAAGUAGCUUAAUAUGAAGUAGACAUUGAAAUCUUUCUUUUAUAAUUUCUGUAGGAUAUACCUCUUCCUCUUUCUGUUCUCUGUCCUAACUUAUCUGGACUACACCUGGAUUAUCUAAUGAUCUCUCAACUAAUAUCCUUGUUUUUAUUUCUUUUCUCCUGUAAUUCAGUGUCCCCAACUUAACCUUCCUCACCCAACACUUUCUUCAUUCUCUGUCCUGUCAAGAACAUAAGACUUGUUAAAUGAAGACUAUCAAAUAGGCAAUGAGAGCAUCUGUGUCUGGUCCACACUAUUUAUCCAGCCUAUCUCCUGCCCUCCCCUGCCAGUGCCUUUUAUUCCAGGCAAGCCCGCCUUACUGUUCUUCACCACACUCAUCUCUCCUUUAAUGCUCUCACCCUCCCCCAAUAUGACAGCCACUCUCGUCUUCUUUCAAAACUUAUUUUAAAUCCUGUACUUCCCCUGAGGUCUGCCUUGACAACUCUGGCCUACCAAGAGCCUUCUCAUCUCUGAAGGCCCACACCAGCUCUUGGUGGCACCACACUGAUGAGAUGCCUGAGGUCAGGAACCAUAGCCUAGUCUUCCUGUGUGCAAGGCAAACCUUGCUCACCAUCCUCUUCCCCCAGACCUUGGCCUUCACACUCAUCUGGGGCACCCACAACUAUAUGACACGUGUGUAACUAAUCUGUGAGGUGGGGCUUGGUCUGGUCCUUGGCAGUCAGGUCUAAUGACUUCUGUAGCAACCCUGGGCCUCUUUACCCACUGGGGUUGGAUUCAACCCUGGGUUGAGACUUCAUGUUUAGAGACAAUAUUACCUUGAUGAGACUGCUGUAUUUCCUGAGGCUUUGUUUCUGACUUGCAGGGUAUUAGGCUUUUAUGACAUGCAAUGAGGGAAUGUCAGGAAGUGACCGUUAGUCUUUCGUGACAGUUAGAAUGUUUAGCAAGCAAUGAUAUACGAUUCGGCAAACAAUUCAGAAAGGUCUGAGCAACAUGGGCUGAAUUACCCUUCAUUAGAGACCUUUAAUGAAGUGUUUUUGGUGAAUGCUGUCUAUGGGAGGUUUUCCUGGAGAGUCCCUCCCAGAGAAAUUGAAACUUGUAUGCAUUAGAUGUCCAGGUUGACUGAUUGCGAUUGUUGCAAAAGUGUCCUCAGUUUCUUCCUUUUAUAUAUGUUUCCUUCCUUGUCUCUACGCCCUUUACUAGCACCCUCCCAACACUGACUCUGAGUUUGGCUGUGUGAUUUGCUUUGCCAUUGAGAUAGUAGCAAACAUAUGAUGGAGACUUAAGAAGAACUUGGGUAUCAGAGCUUGCUCUCUGGCUGCUUUUGGAACCUUGAGCAGCCCUGUGGAUGAGCCCAGGCUAGCUUCCUUGAUUGUGACAGACAUGUGGUCCAGUAUCCUCCUUUCCCCAGACAAUAGUCAGCUAACCCCAGAAGUCAAGUGGCCUAACUGACCAGCAGCUAAUGACAGAAGCACAUGUGGGUCCAGGUGAGAACAGUAGAGUGAUACACUAAUUUAGAAUUGAACUAAAUAGUUACUGAAUUAUACCUUACAUUUUGGGGCUAUUCAAUAUCCAGCAAUAGAUUACCAAUACGUUGGUGUAGGCUAUCUAUUUCACUGCUUAAACUUAGAAGAAAUCCAGAAGACAUCAAAUGUUUGGUCUCUAAUCUUGGAUGAUAUUUAAGUGGAAAAGUGAUGGUACCUUCGAGAGAAAUAAAUAAGGAAGUCUGUUCAGCCUUGGGAAAUAAAACCAGUUACGUUUUUGUAAUUUUGUGUUGGUACAGAUCAAAGUGUGAGAACUUCUAGAGAGGUGAUAGGACGGAGUUGAAGAUCUAUAUAUAGGGGGUAGCUGAAGUUGUGGAAUAGGAUGAGAAUGCAGAUAAAGACUGGUGACAAAACUCAGUGGGAUUCCCUCUUUUCAUGGCCUUUUAGAAAAAGAGGCAAGGGACAGAAGAAGGGACAGGAGGGCAGGGGGCAGAGGAUCAUGUAGGAGAAGCUCAGACUGGGGAAAACUGCAAGAAGAAUCCAGUGGUCAGCAGAGCUGACUGCUAGAAAAGGCAAGCAUGACAGUAAUAAUGACUAAUAAUUGAAGUGCAAUUUGUAGUUUACAAAGUCCACAUAACAGCUUAUUUCAAUCUAGCAUUAUAGAUAGAGUCAGGGUUAUUAUUGUGGUCAUUUUGUACAUGACAAAAUGGGCACAGAGCCAGCAAGUACUUUAUAAAUAUUACCCAUUGGAUAAGAUGGCAAAUUCCAAAUGUCUUAAAAUGGGUUCUAUUUUUACUUACAGGAGACCACUAGAAGUGUGAUUGAAUCUGGCAAGAGGAAAGUCAGCAGCAGCCUUUAAAGAGGCAGUUUCAGGAGAGCUAGGGGUAGGGAGGGUGGUAGUUGGGUAGGAGCAAGACUACAUGGAGAUAAUAUAAAGGACGUAGGAGGUAAGGAACAGAACACUGUUGAGUGGCAGGAGAAUGACUUGGUAAGACCUGGAGGGGACACCAGUUUUGAAAGGAGGGUAAGGGUGACCAAAGCAAGUUUGUAGAUAGGAGGGAGAGGGAGAAGUGGAACAUGAAAGCAAGAGAGAAAAUAAAAGGAGAAUAAAAAUGAAAUAAAAAAUAAAGAGAAAAUAAAUAUAUGAGAAAAAAAAUUGAAAAGCAAUUCCUGAAGGUAUAGAUGCCAGUAUCUAGAGCACAGGUGAAGAAAGGGCUUAGACUUGAGAUGGAUAGAGAGGCAGGUGGGAAGGGAAAAAGGAGAGGAAUGACAGCAAGAGAUUUUGAGCUAGAGAGGAGGGAAAGUAAGUUAGUUCACACCAGAAUCUUCAAAUUCCGUGACCAUUUUCACUCUAAGACGACCAGUUUGCUAUCUCAGGAAAUGCCUGGCAUGGAUCUACCUCUAUAAUGACACAAUUCGAAAGAUUCCUGGAACUGCCUUCAUAAAGCAUGUUGUCCUUCCUGGGCAGAGGUAUUUAAUUUUGUGAUGGGAAAAAACAUUCUUGGGAUAAGGACCCUGUGUGACUAUUUUGUGUGUGUGUGUGCACACACACACAUUCACAUGCACACACACAACACACACACACACACACACACACACACACACACUAGGCAAGAAGAAGUACUCUGGGCAAGAGAUUAGAAGCCUGGGACCUGGGAGAUUGGCUCCAGGGAGCAAGGGGCACCAAAAUCAAAGUAGUUAUUCACUGCUUUGCCUGGAAUGCAGGGUUGUCCUGAGAGGUGGAGCAGAUGCCCUCUUGCAUGGAGGAGAUCCUGAUUAAAAAGUAGGUCCUUCUUACCUAGUUCUGGAAAUCUACCAUCAGGACUUCGUUCCAGUGACUCAAGGCUUCUGCUUACUGCUUCAAGACAGGUAUUUCUGGGAGGGGAAAUCCACUAAAGCUCAAGGUUUAUUAGAAUUUUCCUGAGAGCAAGUUUCAUUAGAUGAUGAAGAUGAGGACUGAUGGGGAAGAACUUGCCUCUGGAUGCAAACAGAAUAUAGAAAGAGAACAGAAAUCACCAAGUCUUCUACAUUCCUCACAUCCUACUGCUCAUACAAAAACUGCAUGCUCCUCAGUUUCUCUUAUCUUAAUCCCCACCUCCAGCAUGAUCAACUACUCUCUCAAGGUGCGUGGUACCUUGGUACCUUGGUACCUUGGUGCUUAAUAAAUAUGUGAAUGAAUGAAUGAAUGAAUGAAUGAAUGAAUGAACAGCUCCUAACUGGCCUCUCCUUCCAAGUUUGGUCUCCUGCAACCCAUUCAUCAGCACGCUGCCUUCCUAAUGAUCCUUCUAAAGCCCUAUUUGAUCUAUUUAAAGUCCUUCAUGGCACCUCAUUACAGGAUCAAUUUGGAACUGCUUAGCUUGGAGUACGAGGCUCUUCAUGAUCCAGUUCCUACAGCCCCUUCCCAAUCUGGCAUCUCAGAAACCCCAUGUGUGCAGGAACCAUUGAUAAACACCUCCAGACUUGAUGCAACUGUAUUGAGCUACUUCUAGGUCCAUGAUCACCUGAGAUAUUUCACUGUACUUUGCCUGGGUUAUUUUUUCUUGGAAUACUUUCUACCCCAUCCCAUGUCCAACUGGUAAAUAUCUACCUGUAUUUUCAGGCUAAAUAGUUCCUGUUCAAUGAAACGUCCAUGAGCUCCUAAGUUGAGGUAUCAAUCUCCUAUACUUGCCCUUUUUGAAUCUAGCUCUGUUACAGCACCUGUUACAACUGAAUAGCAUUUACUUAUGGACAGGAGUGUCUCCCCACCAGGUGAUCAUGUCUCUGGAAAGCAAGACCACUUACAUCUUAUUUGUCAUUGUAUCUUCAAACCAGACAUCUAUUAUUCUCUUAAAUGUUUCAUUGAGAAUUUACGUUGAGACUGCUUAAGGCCAAGUUUCCUUUCUUCUCCCUUUUCCAAUAAUUGUCCUGAUAUAGCAUUAUCUUAAUUACUUUCUUUGUAAAACAAGAGCAUAACUGUGGGUCUUUUUCAAGAUUGCCUAGUAAACAUCUGGCCCCAGAGUGAAAGCCCACAGGGGGCCCUUCAGUUCCACUUCUGGAAGUGCCCUUCAACCCCAUAUCUAGUGCCUCAGAGAGUACAGCAGGCACCUGCAUCCUCCCCGCUACCGGGACUGUUGGCCAGGAGGUAGCUUUUGUUUCUCUCAUGAGUGUGUUCUGAUUUUUAUCUGGAUCUGGCUUUGGAGGGGCAGGCAGGUGAGGUCCACUGGAAAGAUACACAGUAGCUAUGAGGAUCCCACCCACAACAUAAUUUCUGCUUCCCCUUGUCUUGGAGGCUUCUUUUGGCUGUUUUCCUGAGAUACUUCCAGGUGAGCUUACUUGUGGUGUAAAUUUGGUCUAUUAUCUGGUCCACAAUCCAGUGACUUUACAGACACAACUUUUUUCUAAAGCCGCCCAGCAAGGUGUCCCCAGAAUAGAAACUACCCUUAGAGACAGCGGUAAGUUUUUCAUUCUCCUCUAGGUUUCCUGAGAAGCCAGUAGUCUAGCUUUGGUGUAACCUACAUAUUCCUUUGCCUCUUUAGGAAGCAGUACUCACUCUCCACAUUAUUCAUAGAGGUAGAAUCAGCCUUUCAAAUGGAAAAUUGAAGUAGAACAAAUAACAGGGGGAGUGGAUGAAUGUUGGCAAAACCAUUGCCUUCAGCCUUGGAAGAUCACAUUCUGAAUUCUGUGCCACCAGAUAGCUUAAUCCUUCUUAUACCUGUGAGUGAAGUUACUGAAGGGGACAGGUUCAUGGCUACCUAAUCAAACUGUGUGAUAGGAGCCAAAGUCACUGCUUCCUGGAUGAUUUCUACAGAACCCAGUUCUUUCAUCCUAGUCUAGUACAGACCUCUACUCCAAUGAACAGCAUUGGUGUGGACUGACAUCAAGGGUGAAGUUAUAAAGGCCAGAAAAUGCCUGAAUCUUGAAAGCUGCCGAGGCAACUGAGUCAAGGCUCCAAACAGUGGAUUUGGACUCAUGUGACCUUUUGAUUUUAAUUUUUUUUGUCAUGUCCUGUCUAUUAUUGUAGAGGACUUAUGAUUUAGUUGUCUCCUUUAAUUUAGUGAAUUUUCCUAUCAAGCUAUUAGUUAUUUAACAAACCAAAAAAUGGCAGGAACAAAGGACUGAUUUGAAAUAUUUCUUCCCAGGAAAAAUAUAUUCUUUUUCUAGCACACUGAAAGAGUUUGCAUAAAUGCCCUUCUUAUAGGCCAGCUGAGCAAGGGAGAGCAUUGUUGUGAGAGAAAUUUAACUGCGUUGCCGUUGCCAAAUAUUUAAUACUUUAAAGAGGAAGUUCUAAAAUUUAAUAGUUGAUUUUAUUAUUACUCUUUGGAUAUAAUUAACUAGGGAUGCACUUUAAACUGCUUUAUUCUGGCUAUUGAAAUGGAUUUUAUGGUUUACACUGGGGAAAAAAAAUUCUGUCAGACCAUGGGCCUCUCCCUUGGUGCACAUUAUUAGAGUCUUUUUAGAGACAAGCAAGCAAUUUUGCUGUCAUUGGUCUUGUUCAAAUAGAGUAUGUUUAUCUAUGCAAUACUCUUGGGAAAGGGUGUCAGAAAAGGAUCACCAGUUAGCAGCUGACAUAGCUCCUGCACACACGUCGAAAAAGCUCCUCAAAUAGCAAAUGAACACAUAUAUUUCAUUUUUUAUGUGGCUGAUAAAAUGUUAUAUCAUUAAGUCAAAAGAACAUAUUUGUUCCAUCCAACUUGAGUUUAGAACUAGCUCUCACUUCUAAUACAAAUGAGGGCCCUGCGGCUCCACAGAGCGUGCUCUGCAGAAACCAAACAGCCGUUCAGGACUUGAGGGAAAGCAGGUCUCUACACAUUGAAUAUCAACUCUUUAAUGGGCUGUUGGCAUAUUCUUGAUCUGUUCCCAGAUAUUUAAAUGCCAAGUGGGCUUCAGAGAAAUCUAAGUCUUUCUGAAUGUUUAGUUUAACCUGUGUAUUAUUUUAUCUCAGAUACCAAUUUCUCAUCUCUUUGCUCUACCAAAUCAAAGCAUCCAUUUACUCAUUUAUUCCAUAAAUAAAUACUGAACAAUAAACAAUAAAUAUGCAGCAAGUACUAACCUGGUCUUUUGCCAAACUGGGCUUUUGCAAAAAAAAAAAAAAAUGUACAAAACAAAUAAAGUGCUUGCCUUCAAGGAACUUACAGCCUGGUGAGGAUGAUAAAUGAACAGGCAGAAAAUCUAAUCACAAAUCAGAAAUGCUAUGAAGAGGGGCGCCUGGCUGGCUCAGUGGAUAGAGCACAUGACUCUUGAUCUCUGGGUCGUGAGUUGGAGCUCCAUGCUGGGCGUAGAGAUCACUUAAGGAAAUUAAAACAAAAAAAGUGCUAUGAAUAAAGAGAUUUAGUGCUGAAGUGAGAGCACUGAGGCCUCUGUUUUCUCAUGUGUCAACUGUAAAUAGUGAGACCUACUUUACAGAAUUUAGGGAUUAAAUGAAACAAAACAAUGUAGAUAACAUUUCUUAAUGCAGUGUUCAGUAUAAGGCAAGAGAUCAAAUAGUCGAAUACAUAGAUAAGAUUCAUGGUGUAUGUGCUGGAAAGAUACACAGCUGCAGGGCUGAAAUUCAGCCUUCACAUUUUGAAGUGAUGUCACAGAGAAUAGGGACUAGUCAUUCUUGCCAUUUAUUUGUGAGCAUAAGCAUGCCAGUUUACUAGUUAGUUUCUCCUAAAGUAUUCACCUGAUGUUUUGCUUAUAAAUUCUUCCAUCUCCUUUGAAUGGCAUAGCUGUCCUUGGGGCCUUUUCAAGGAACCUCUCACAGUGGAAACUCUCCUUCCCACUUGAAUGGUUUUGAAAGUUUGGAUUCUACUGUAAAGCAUCUGGGUCCUAGGGUUCUUUUUCAUCUCUUGAGACCUAGGGAAAUCCUGGAUCUGGGACAUCCCACUUACUAGAGAUGUAAUAAACACUUGCUAUGUGCCCAAAUUUAAUUUAAUCCUUAAACGGUCUUGUGAGGUGGGUGUUGUCAACUUGCAUUUUUUAAGUGUGAAGAAACAGAAACUCACGGAGGUUAAGUAGCUCACCCAGGGUUAUACAAUUAAAAAGAGACCUUGAAUUUGUACUUAUCUCAGGGCACUUGGGUGGCUCAGUCAGUUAGGCAUCCAACUUCGGCUCAGGUCAUGAUCUGUGGUUCAUGGGUUCUAGCCCUGUGUUGGGCCGUGUGCUGACAGCUGGAGCCUAGAGCCUGCUUCAGGUAAUGUGUCUCUGUCUCUCUCUGCCCCUCUCCCGCUCAUGCUCUGACACACACACACACACACACACACACACACACACACACACACUCUCUCUCUCUC